ACGAACGCUGGCGGCGUGCUUAACACAUGCAAGUCGAGCGGUAAGGCCCUUUCGGGGGUACACGAGCGGCGAACGGGUGAGUAACACGUGGGUGACCUGCCCUCAGCUCUGGGAUAAGCCUGGGAAACCGGGUCUAAUACCGGAUAUGACUCCAUGACGCAUGUUGUGGGGUGGAAAGCCUUGUGCGGCUGAGGAUGGGCCCGCGGCCUAUCAGCUUGUUGGUGGGGUGAUGGCCUACCAAGGCGACGACGGGUAGCCGGCCUGAGAGGGCGACCGGCCACACUGGGACUGAGACACGGCCCAGACUCCUACGGGAGGCAGCAGUGGGGAAUCUUGCGCAAUGGGCGAAAGCCUGACGCAGCGACGCCGCGUGAGGGAUGACGGCCUGGUGUAACU
rnacentral:rRNA from 1 species